rnacentral:rRNA from 1 species
GUAGGGUGGCAAGCGUUGUCCGGAAUUAUUGGGCGUAAAGCGCGCGCAGGCGGUCCUUUAAGUCUGAUGUGAAAGCCCACGGCUCAACCGUGGAGGGUCAUUGGAAAACUGGGGGACUUGAGUACAGAAGAGGAAAGCGGAAUUCCAAGUGUAGCGGUGAAAUGCGUAGAGAUUUGGAGGAACACCAGUGGCGAAGGCGGCUUUCUGGUCUGUAACUGACGCUGAGGCGCGAAAGCGUGGGGAGCAAACAGGAUUAGAUACCCUGGUAGUCCACGCCGUAAACGAUGAGUGCUAAGUGUUAGGGGGUUUCCGCCCCUUAGUGCUGCAGCUAACGCAUUAAGCACUCCGCCUGGGGAGUACGGCCGCAAGGCUG